UCAUGUUAAUGUUUUUCAGGAUGGGUUUUUUUGCAAUGUGUGUUAUUGCUGGUUGUGCUUGAGGCGUUUGAUCUGAAGAGUGCUUUUGGAAGUCUGAAUCCAGUCAAAGUCCAAGAAGCAUCAAUCAUAUCCAGCUUCCAGAGUACCUGUUUCUUAAGUGCUUGGGAACACUUUGCAGAAAGCUUCUCAGUUUCAGAGUCUUGACUACAGCGUAUUUGCAAAAGAGCCUCUUGGGCUUCAGGAGAAGCAGGCGUUUCAGGGACCAGUGAAGCCUUUGGAUUGGAGGUUUCCCGCUGUUCCAGAAGUGCUGAGCAAGAUGGCGGUGGACUUUCAUUUAAGGCAACUUGUGACCCCUAGAUGUGUAGCUAUUCAGUGUAGUGAGAACCAGAUUAAUGUGGAGGUAUAGCAGGACUUGUUUAGCAAUGGCGAACUGAUCCAGCCAUCUGGUUUGACUUUAGGAGGAUGCCCUGUUGUUGGUUUGGUCCCAGGCUCAAAGGUGCUUUUUGAGAAUGAACUGCAGGUCUGCAACCGUGUUGAUGGUGGCUUGCUGCUGAUGGGAACCACCAGUUUGUGGUUUCUGUGACUCAACAGGUGUUCCUGAUGGUGGAACUGCUGCUGCUUUUUUGGAGGCCUUCAGUGGGAAGGGAAGGCCUCGCUCGGUCCUGUAGUGGUUCAAGAGCACAAAGAGACUUUAGCUGGUGUUCAAUAAAUGUGGGGAGAACUUA